CACGUAGGGGGCAAGCGUUGUCCGGAAUCAUUGGGCGUAAAGAGCUCGUAGGCGGCUCAGUAAGUCGGGUGUGAAACCCUCAGGCUCAACCUGGGGACGCCACCCGAUACUGCUGUGGCUAGAGUCCAGUAGGGGAGUGUGGAAUUCCUGGUGUAGCGGUGAAAUGCGCAGAUAUCGGGAGGAACACCAGCGGCGAAGGCGGCACUCUGGGCUGGUACUGACGCUGAGGAGCGAAAGCGUGGGUAGCAAACAGG
rnacentral:rRNA from 1 species